rnacentral:rRNA from 1 species
GAUGAACGCUGGCGGCGUGCUUAACACAUGCAAGUCGAACGGUUAAACCGCCCUCGGGCGGACAUACAGUGGCGAACGGGUGAGUAACACGUGACCAACCUGCCCCAGACUCCGGGACAACCGCUGGAAACGGCGGCUAAUACCGGAUACUCCGGGGAGGCCCCAUGGCCUCCCCGGGAAAGCCUUGACGGUCUGGGAUGGGGUCGCGGCCCAUUAGGUAGACGGCGGGGUAACGGCCCACCGUGCCCGCGAUGGGUAGCCGGACUGAGAGGUCGACCGGCCACAUUGGGACUGAGAUACGGCCCAGACUCCUACGGGAGGCAGCAGUGGGGAAUUUUGCGCAAUGGGGGAAACCCUGACGCAGCAACGCCGCGUGCGGGACGAAGGCCCUCGGGUCGUAAACCGCUUUCAGCAGGGAAGACUCAAGACGGUACCUGCAGAAGAAGCUCCGGCUAACUACGUGC